CACCACAUAAUGAGAGUAGCGCACUGGUGAGUAACACGUGGGAACAUACCUUGAAGUGGGGGGCAACAGAGGGAAACUUCUGCUAAUACCGCAUAAUCCCUGAGGGGGAAAGAUUUAUCGCUUUAAGAUUGGCCCGCGGAAGAUUAGGUAGUUGGUGGGGUAAAGGCCUACCAAGCCGACGAUCUAUAGCUGGUCUGAGAGGACGAACAGCCACAUUGGAACUGAGACACGGUCCAGACUCCUACGGAAGGCAGCAG
rnacentral:rRNA from 1 species